UGGGCUUUAUUUUAAUUGAGAAUAGUUAGCUGUUACCUAACAGGUGUAGAAUGGAGGUUACAGGUCCAG
rnacentral:tRNA from 1 species